rnacentral:misc_RNA from 1 species
GAUGAAGAACGUAGCGAAAUGCGAUAAGUAGUGUGAAUUGCAGAAUUCAGUGAAUCAUCGAAUCUUUGAACGCACAUUGCGCCCCUUGGUAUCCCGAGGGGCAUGCCUGUUCGAGCGUCAUUUCACCACUCAAGCCUGGCUUGGUGUUGGGCGACGUCCCCUUUGGGGACGCGCCUCGAAACGCUCGGCGGCGUGGCACCGGCUUUAAGCGUAGCAGAAUCUUUCGCUUUGGAAGUCGGGGCCCCGUCUGCCGGAAGACCUACUCGCAAGGUUGACCUCGGAUCAGGCAGGGAUACCCACUGAACUUAAGCAUAUCAAUAAGCGGAGGA